rnacentral:misc_RNA from 1 species
GUUACAACAAAACAAAGACCUGCCUUACCUUUAUUAUAAUCUCUCUAGAUAAUCAUCAAAAACACAAUUAAAAUCACUAUUAACGAUAACAUUUACCAAAAUUGCUAAAACCAUCGGUUGCAAGCAUAGUAAAAGCUUUAGUAAGCCCAACAAUCUGUGUCAUAUUUUAACAGCCCAAUACAGGAAACAAGAUGCUAAUCUAAAGGAAUUUGAAAUAACCAAAUAAACAAAGAAAUAUUCAUGAACAAGCAAUAUACAGCAACAUCAUCUAAAGAAAACAGACCCUUAAAACAUUCAUCAAAUCAAUAAUCA